ACGAACGCUGGCGGCGUGCUUAACACAUGCAAGUCGAGCGGUAAGGCCCUUUCGGGGUACGACGAGCGGCGAACGGGUGAGUAACACGUGGGUGACCUCGCCCUCCAGCUCUGGGAGUAAGCCUGGGAAACUAGGGUCUAAUACUGGAUAUGACUCCACGGUGCAUGUUGUGGGGUGGAAAGCCUUGUGCGGCUGAGGAUGGGCCCGCGG
rnacentral:rRNA from 1 species